ensembl:snoRNA
CCUCUCUUGGCUUCACUUAAUCAUACUCAGUGUGUGGCUGGUGUAUUUUCAGAGAGGCUGGCCGUCCUAAUGCACUUCAGACCAGCCUCAAGUGGCCUCUGUUCCCAGGGGUCCAGCAGCU